rnacentral:rRNA from 1 species
UACGUAGGGGGCAAGCGUUGUCCGGAAUCAUUGGGCGUAAAGAGCGUGUAGGCGGCUCGGUAAGUCCGCUCUGAAAGCCCGGGGCUCAACCCCGGGAGGCGGGCGGAUACUGUCGAGCUAGAGUCCGGAAGAGGCGAGUGGAAUUCAUGGUGUAGCAGUGAAAUGCGUAGAGAUCAUGAGGAAGACCAGUGGCGAAGGCGGGUCUCUGGACAGUUCCUGACGCUGAGGCACGAAGGUCAGGGGAGCAAACGGG